rnacentral:snRNA from 1 species
UACAUGAUUUGUUUAUUUAAACAA